CUCAACAUACCGUUCAAACGUUUGGAGUCACUUAGAAAUUUCCUUAUUUUUAACAGAAAUGCCACUUUUUUGCAAUGAACGAUUCAGAAACACGCUGUAAAUGAUACCCGGUGUAGUAACUACAUCGUUAAAUUAUGUCUAUAUCUCUAUAAAAAGCUUAUUUUGGUGAUCACAGAACAUUGUGCAUGUUUUUUGGUGAUGUCAGCCUGUUUCAGAAGAUGCAUUAAUGUUUCUGUAUGCAAUUAUUAUAAUGAUGUCUGCGUGUGGUCGGCCCGCUCCGCUCGUGUGGGGUGGUGGACUGAGGCCCCACUGGGCGCGGGGGCAUCUCCUGGUGGGCUCCCUACGGACCGUGGGUCCUCGGGCUCCACUCGUUCAGGCCGACCCUCCCACCGGGGGGAGUGUGUGCCCCUGGUUCUCAGGGGGCGGACAGCGUUGACCCACGGUGGCCCACUCUGACCUCGGGUGCUGUCUCUGUGGCUGCUGCAGCUCUGUGGGGGGCUCUGUGUGUGUCCAACACCUGCCUCCUGGAAGGGCAGGUGUCCUGUGUUUUUUUAUCUACAUUUGCUUCAUUAUUUUUUCUGGUUUAAGCAGCUGGUUGUUCUCCACACAUGCACUCACGCACGCACGCACGCACACACGCACACACACACACACACAGUCCAUUAACUCUACGACGUCACAAAUAUUUAGGAAGGACAUAAAACAAACACAAACCAUUAACCAUCCAUAAACCGGGAGGACAUAAAUUAUUUAUAUACUCCUCUAAAAAAAACACUGUCCGUCACAAUACGACACUCAGCUUAACACAUGCUGCUUGUUGAGCAGCUGGACAGGACAAAAAACGGGGUUGUGUGUUUGUCUCUCUGCUCAGAAUGAAUGAAUGGAAAGACCUGCUCAUCUGUGAUGCAGAUGGAGGAGCUCCACCUGCAGCCUCCCGUCCCCACAGACCCUCAUGGAGGGAACCGGGGAACCAGGGGCUCAUCAGCUGCUGCGUGAACAGCCCCUCACAGGAAGCACCAGUUGCAUCAGAAUCCACAGAACACCUCAGAAACACAGGAACAGGAAGCGUCAUGUCCCAACGCAGCGUGUUGACUGAGCCACCAGAGGGCGCAGCGGAGCCGUAACCAUGGCGGCAGCAGCAGCACAGAGCAGACGGGUGAGCUGCUCAGUCCUCGGAGGUGAGGACGAGUCAGGUCUUUAAUUGUUCACAGGAAAGACCGACAACAACAUCAACAACACGAGCCGUUCAACCCCAGUCUCUCUGGGCUGGUGUCCACUCAGGGAGGAAGAACCUGGGCUGAGGUCUUGAGGUGAUGGGGUUGGUGGUGUGUUCUGCUGGUGUGGUUUGUGCACCUCGAGGACAUGAAGAAAAAGUCUGACCUUAAAAGCAGGACAUGAAUGAAAGCUCUGGAAUUAAAAGCUGGACUCACUGAUCUGGGGUCAGACGUGUCUGCCUGGUGCAUGUGAGCAUGUAUUUAGUUGUGCUACGACUCCACUAGAGGGCGCCAUCCUUCAGUACACACGACUUAUAUGAUGUAGAAGUACGAGUAUGAAGAUGAGCUCGCGCUGUACGACAUGAGGUACUUGAGGUGAGUGGUCCAGAUAAAGAUUAUCUGACAUCAGCACGCGUCAUGUCUCACACCUAGAAGCACAACCUGCUGCAGAACCAGCUGUGGGCCGGUGUCUCUCACCUGGAUACUGCUCGUCUCCAGGUUACCUGACCCAGUUUGACGCGUGAGGGAUGGAGAGGAGCAGGAAACCAUUGAUUUAACAAAUACUGGCUAAUAUUACUCUGCUUUUAAACUUCAGCUUGAGGAAACGAUGGGAAUACUCGUCCCACCACUGAAGGAUUACACUGGUUCCUGCUCUGACUGCAGCAAAGGUCUAAAUAAAGAGUUUAGCUUUAGUUUGUCUGACUGGUUGGAGAUAAUAGUCACUAAUGCACAGGACAAGCUCCUGUCAUUGCUUCCAGUAUUUAAGUCUUACUCUCAUCUGUGCAGCUCAAUAAUAAUACAUGACUGAUCUCUAUAUUUCCACACUCAGCAAACACUCUGCUGCAGUGUCUCCACUCCUGCUAACGCUGCUCUCAGAGGUCACAUAGUGGUGCUUGACCAGUGCGACCAGUGGAAAGCUACUGAAUGGAGCUGUUUCCUGUCCAGUAAAGGGCUCAGGUGUCUGCUGACCAGGGUUGUGAUUUCAAGUCUGAGUCUUCAGGCUGCAUCAGCAUCACAUUAAAGACUAAAGAAGCCUUUUUGAA